rnacentral:tRNA from 1 species
AACCAUUAAGUUAAAACAUUUGUUUUGAAAACAUUAUAGGAGCCUAUAGCUCAAUGGUUU